rnacentral:rRNA from 1 species
UACGUAGGGGGCAAGCGUUGUCCGGAUUUAUUGGGCGUAAAGAGCGUGUAGGCGGUUUGGUAGGUCCGCUGUGAAAACUCGAGGCUCAACCUCGAGACGCCGGUUGAAACCAUCAGACUAGAGUCCGGAAGAGGAGAGUGGAAUUCCUGGUGUAGCGGUGAAAUGCGCAGAUAUCAGGAAGAACACCCAUGGCUAAGGCGGCUCUCUAGUACGGUACUGACGCUGAGGCGCGAAAGCGUGGGGAGCGAACAGG